GACAGAGGAUGCAAGCGUUAUCCGGAAUGAUUGGGCGUAAAGCGUCUGUAGGUGGCUUUUAAGUCCGCCGUCAAAUCCCAGGCUCAACCCUGGACAGGCGGUGGAACUACCAAGCUGGAGUACGGUAGGGCAGAGGAAUUUCCGGUGGAGCGGCGAAAUGCGUAGAGAUCGGAAAGAACACCAACGGUGAAAGCACUCUGCUGGCCGACACUGACACUGAGAGACGAAAGCUAGGGGAGCGAAUGGG
rnacentral:rRNA from 1 species